CCAUACAACCCACGUAUAUAACACCAUCAGCUGAUAAAACAUGCAAAGAAACAUGAAACCAUUUGCACUGUUGUUGUGUGUUUUUUCCUUCAUUCUCUUCAUUAUAAGUUUCACCACCGCCUGCGUGGGGUGCGCUGCCCAUGGUCCUAAAGAUGAUUCAGAAAACAUUAUGAAAGUCCAUAUGCCGCGAAGAAAAUACAUGUACCGCAUAGCAAACAGCACUUCUCCCUAUUAACAUCAAGCAAAGAGCGUAUACUAUAAAGAAAACUUUAAAGACAACACCAAUAACAAAAUAUUUAUCUGCCAGGCAAAGAAAACAGGACCUGUAUCAAUCAAAUUGCUUUCGACAACAAUGUCGCCGAAAAUACAGAAUAUUUUAGCGCAAAUGGAGACGAGUAAACUAUUAAAAGACAAAAAGAACUACAGGAUGUUAUUGCGGCAAAUGAGAGAUAUCUUCCAUAUUCCUUCAUCGACUGUAUGUGACAGAUGCAAGCAAAUAUAAUCAUCAUUUUUUGGAUUAAUAUAAAUAAAAUGUGUCUAUUAUUCGUA